rnacentral:rRNA from 1 species
UCUCAGUACAGACUAUAUUAAAGUGAAACCGCAAAAGGCUCAGUAAACCAGUUUUAAUUUACUAGAGUUAACUUGACUGUGCUUGGAUAACUGUGGUAAUUCUAGAGCUAAUACAUGCAAACAAGCCGUGACCAUUCGUGGUCAGGGCGCUUUUAUCAGAUCAAGACCAAUCGCCCGGCCAGUCCGGGCGUUAUGUUGAUGAACCUAGAUAACACAGCAGAUCGCAUGGUCUUUGUACCGGCGACUCAUCUUUCAAAUGCCUGACUUAUCAACUGACGAUGGUAGACUCUGUGUCUACCAUGGCUGUUACGGGUAACGGGGAAUCAGGGUUCGAUUCCGGAGAGGGAGCCUGAGAAACGGCUACCACAUCCAAGGAAGGCAGCAGGCACGCAAAUUACCCACUCCCGGCACGGGGAGGUAGUGACAAAAAAUAACGAUACGGGACUCGAUAUGAGGCCUCGUAAUCGGAAUGAGUACACUCUAAAUCCUUUAACAAAAAUCUAUUGGAGGGCAAGUCUGGUGCCAGCAGCCGCGGUAAUUCCAGCUCCAAUAGCGUAUAUUAAAGUUGUUGCGGUUAAAAAGCUCGUAGUUGGUUCUGCGUCCCGCGCUGUCGGUACACCGUUUGUCGGUGACACUGGCAUGACGCGGGAUGUCCUGUCGGUGGCGGCAGAGACCAUAUCGCCGUCGGAUCACUCCCCGGCGUGUUGGCCUUCUGACGCCGGCUAUAUCCUACCGCGGUGCUCUUCAUUGAGUGUCGAGGUAGGCCGACACGUUUACUUUGAACAAAUUAGAGUGCUUAAAGCAGGCAAAAAUCUUUGCCGGAAUAGUGGUGCAUGGAAUAAUGGAACAGGACCUUGGUUCUAUUCUGUUGGUCUCCGGAACACAAGGUAAUGAUCAAUGUGGACAGGCGGGGGCAUUCGUAUUGCGGCGUUAGAGGUGAAAUUCUUGAAUCGUCGCAAGACGCACUAGAGCGAAAGCAAUUGCCAAG